AAACGCAGCUAGGGGUGCCUGAGCGGUUCAGGCUGAGAUUACACCCUGAGAACCUGAGACUGGUUAGCACCAGCGGAGGGAAGCUGUUUAUCUGAGGA
rnacentral:ncRNA from 2 species